rnacentral:rRNA from 1 species
UACAGAGGUGGCAAGCGUUGUUCGGAUUUACUGGGCGUAAAGGGUGCGUAGGCGGCCCUGUGUGUCAGGUGUGAAAUCCCACGGCUCACCCGUGGAAAUGCACUUGAAACUGCAGGGAUCGAGUUCAGGAGAGGUAAGUGGAAUUCUUGGUGUAGCAGUGAAAUGCGUAGAUAUCAAGAGGAACACCGGUGGCGAAGGCGGCUUACUGGACUGAUACUGACGCUGAGGCACGAAAGCCAGGGGAGCAAAAAGG